rnacentral:rRNA from 1 species
UACGAAGGGGGCUAGCGUUGCUCGGAAUCACUGGGCGUAAAGCGCACGUAGGCGGACUCUUAAGUCAGGGGUGAAAUCCCUCGGCUUAACCGGGGAACUGCGUCUGAUACUGGAUGGCUUGAGUUCGGGAGAGGGAUGCGGAAUUCCAGGUGUAGCGGUGAAAUGCGUAGAUAUCUGGAGGAACACCGGUGGCGAAGGCGGCAUCCUGGACCGACACUGACGCUGAGGAGCGAAAGCCAGGGGAGCAAACGGG